CGGUUUUACGCUGCUUACAGCUUAAUAGUCUAUGCUUUCGUAGCUUCGGGCAGACUGGGUGAAGAGAGAGAGAGAGCGACAGAGAGAGGGAGAGACAGAGACAGAGAGGGCAUCUAAAACGAGGAUUCAAGGUUGAUGUAUCGGUAAUGGAGGAUUCAAGCACUCCUCGUUUUAGAUGCCCUCACUGUGCUGGCCCUCUUUCGAAAGAAAUGGAAACCAGCAAUUGGACUGUUCCCCCGCUCAUCAGGGAUAGCUUUUCCAUGAUUGGUUCUGCUGUUGGUGGCACAACAAGCGCAUUCUAUUGUUUUAACCAUGGUAUGUGAAUCGCCGUGGAUGUUCUUUGC